AUUGAACGCUGGCGGCAUGCCUUACACAUGCAAGUCGAACGGCAGCGGGGGAGAAGCUUGCUUUUCCUGCCGGCGAGUGGCGAACGGGUGAGUAAUACAUCGGAACGUGCCCUGUAGUGGGGGAUAACUAGUCGAAAGAUUUGCUAAUACCGCAUACGACCUGAGGGUGAAAGUGGGGGGCCGCAAGGCCUCAUGCUAUAGGAGCGGCCGAUGUCUGAUUAGCUAGUUGGUGGGGUAAAGGCCUACCAAGGCGACGAUCAGUAGCUGGUCUGAGAGGACGAUCAGCCACACUGGGACUGAGACACGGCCCAGACUCCUACGGGAGGCAGCAGUGGGGAAUUUUGGACAAUGGGCGAAAGCCUGAUCCAGCAAUGCCGCGUGUGUGAAGAAGGCCUUCGGGUUGUAAAGCACUUUUGUCCGGAAAGAAAUGGCUCUGGUUAAUACCUGGGGUCGAUGACGGUACCGGCAGAAUAAGCACCGGCUAACUCUGUGCCAGCCGCCGCCGUAA
rnacentral:rRNA from 1 species